CCUACGGGAGGCAGCAGUGGGGAAUAUUGGACAAUGGGCGCAAGCCUGAUCCAGCCAUGCCGCGUGAGUGAAGAAGGCCUUCGGGUUGUAAAGCUCUUUUGUUGGGGAAGCGGUACCCAAAGAAUAAGCACCGGCUAACUUCGUGCCAGCAGCCGCGGUAAUACGAAGGGUGCAAGCGUUACUCGGAAUUACUGGGCGUAAAGCGUGCGUAGGUGGUUCGUUAAGUCUGAUGUGAAAGCCCUGGGCUCAACCUGGGAACUGCAUUGGAUACUGGCGAUCUGGAGUGCGGUAGAGGGUGGCGGAAUUCCCGGUGUAGCAGUGAAAUGCGUAGAUAUCGGGAGGAACAUCCGUGGCGAAGGCGGCCACCUGGACCAGACUGACACUGAGGCACGAAAGCGUGGGGAGCAAACAGGAUUAGAUACCCUUGUAGUC
rnacentral:rRNA from 1 species